UGAGGAACAUGACUUUCGGCGGGGGAUAGCCGGCCCAACGGCCGGGUAAUACCGCGUACGACCUUUUGGGGACAUCCCCGAUUGGUGAAAGCAGCAAUGCGCCGAAAGAGUGCCUCGCGGCCUAUCAGCUAGUUGGUGGGUAAUGGCUCACCAAGGCGACGACGGGUAGCUGGUCUGAGAGGAUGGCCAGCCACAGUUGGGACUGAGACACGGCCCAGACCUCCGUACGGGAGCAGCAGG
rnacentral:rRNA from 1 species